rnacentral:rRNA from 1 species
CUGGGUGGUUGAAUGGGGACGGGUGAGUUUUACAUGAGUAACCUGCCCUUGACUCUGGGAUAAGCCUGGGAAACUGGGUCUAAUACUGGAUACGACAUGUCACCGCAUGGUGGUGUGUGGAAAGGGUUUUACUGGUUUUGGAUGGGCUCACGGCCUAUCAGCUUGUUGGUGGGGUAAUGGCUCACCAAGGCGACGACGGGUAGCCGGCCUGAGAGGGUGACCGGCCACACUGGGACUGAGACACGGCCCAGACUCCUACGGGAGGCAGCAGUGGGGAAUAUUGCACAAUGGGCGAAAGCCUGAUGCAGCGACGCCGCGUGAGGGAUGACGGCCUUCGGGUUGUAAACCUCUUUCAGCACGGAAGAAGCGAAAGUGACGGUACGUGCAGAAGAAGCGCCGGCUAACUACGUGCCAGCAGCCGCGGUAAUACGUAGGGCGCAAGCGUUGUCCGGAAUUAUUGGGCGUAAAGAGCUCGUAGGCGGUUUGUCGCGUCUGCUGUGAAAGCCCGGGGCUUAACCCCGGGUGUGCAGUGGGUACGGGCAGACUUGAGUGCAGUAGGGGAGACUGGAAUUCCUGGUGUAGCGGUGAAAUGCGC